rnacentral:misc_RNA from 1 species
GAAAUCUUCAAAGUAAACCUUUUGUUAAUUCAAUUGGUCUUUUUUACUUUGGUUUUGGAGGAUCUUAUUGCAGCUUCACACCUGCUCCUCUUUGUGCAUUAGCUGGAUCUCAGUGUUAUGCUUGGUUCCACUCGGCGUGAUAAGUUAUCUAUCGCUGAGGACACCCGUAAAAAAGGUGGCCAAGGUAAAUGCAGAUGAACCGCUUCUAAUAGUCCAUUGACUUGGACAAUAUUCUAUUUUAUGAUCUGAUCUCAAAUCAGGUAGGACCCGCUGAACUUAA